AACACAAGUUUUAAGUUUGAAGAUGCAAUUGCAUCACUCAAGAUGAUCCCGCGUUGUAUUAGCUAGUUGGUGAGGUAAAGCUCACCAGGCGAUGAUACAUAGCCGACCUGAGAGGUGAUCGCACAUGGAUGAGACCGCCCCAACUCUACGGAGGCGCGUAGGAAUCUUCGGCAUGACGAAAGUCUGACCCAGCACGCCCGUGAGUGAAGAAGUUUUCGGAUGUAAACUCCGUGGUAGAGAAGAACUCGGUGAGAG
rnacentral:rRNA from 1 species